UGGGGAAUAUUGCACAAUGGGCGCAAGCCUGAUGCAGCCAUGCCGCGUGUGUGAAGAAGGCCUUCGGGUUGUAAAGCACUUUCAGCGGGGAGGAAGGCGUUAAGGUUAAUAACCUUGGCGAUUGACGUUACCCGCAGAAGAAGCACCGGCUAACUCCGUGCCAGCAGCCGCGGUAAUACGGAGGGUGCAAGCGUUAAUCGGAAUUACUGGGCGUAAAGCGCACGCAGGCGGUCUGUCAAGUCUGAUGUGAAAGCCCCCGGCUCAACCGGGGAGGGUCAUUGGAAACUGGGAGACUUGAGUGCAGAAGAGGGGAGUGGAAUUCCAUGUGUAGCGGUGAAAUGCGUAGAUAUAUGGAGGAACACCAGUGGCGAAGGCAGCUCUCUGGUCUGUAACUGACGCUGAGGCUCGAAAGCGUAGGGAGCAAACAGG
rnacentral:rRNA from 1 species